UGAGCCUACGGGGCGCAGCAGUGGGGGAUAUUGCACAAUGGGGGAAACCCUGAUGCAGCGACGCCGCGUGGGUGAAGAAGCGCCUCGGCGCGUAAAGCCCUGUCAGCAGGGAAGAAAAUGACGGUACCUGAAGAAGAAGCCCCGGCUAACUACGUGCCAGCAGCCGCGGUAAUACGUAGGGGGCAAGCGUUAUCCGGAUUCACUGGGUGUAAAGGGAGCGUAGACGGCAGCGCAAGUCUGGAGUGAAAUGCCGGGGCCCAACCCCGGAACUGCUUUGGAAACUGUGCGGCU
rnacentral:rRNA from 1 species